GAUGAACGCUGGCGGCGUGCCUAAUACAUGCAAGUCGAGCGAACGGACGAGAAGCUUGCUCCUCUGACGUUAGCGGCGGUCGGGUGAGUAACACGUGGAUAACCUACCUAUAAGACUGGGAUAACUUCGGGAAACCGGAGCUAAUACCGGAUGAUAUUUUGAACCGCAUGGUUCAAAAGUGAAAGACGGUCUUGCUGUCACUUAUAGAUGGAUCCGCGCUGCAUUAGCUAGUUGGUAAGGUAACGGCUUACCAAGGCAACGAUGCAUAGCCGACCUGAGAGGGUGAUCGGCCACACUGGAACUGAGACACGGUCCAGACUCCUACGGGAGGCAGCAGUAGGGAAUCUUCCGCAAUGGGCGAAAGCCUGACGGAGCAACGCCGCGUGAGUGAUGAAGGUCUUCGGAUCGUAAAACUCUGUUAUUAGGGAAGAACAUAUGUGUAAGUAACUAUGCACAUCUUGACGGUACCUAAUCAGAAAGCCACGGCUAACUACGUG
rnacentral:rRNA from 1 species